UAAGGAAUAUUGCUCAAUGGGAGAAAUCCUGAAGCAGCAACGCCGCGUGGAGGAUGAAGGGUCUAUGACUUGUAAACUCCUGUAAAGAAGGAAAAAAUUCCCAUUUGAUGGGAGAUGAUGGUACUUCUGGAGUAAGCCCCGGCUAACUACGUGCCAGCAGCCGCGGUAAUACGUAGGGGGCAAGCGUUGUCCGGAUUUACUGGGUGUAAAGGGUGCUCAGGCGGAUUUGUAAGUCAGAGGUGAAAUCUUACAGCUUAACUGUGAAACUGCCUUUGAUACUGCAAGCCUAGAGUAUGGAAGAGAGAGAUUGAAUAUCUGGUGUAGCAGUGAAAUGCGUAGAUAUCAGAUAGAACACCAAUGGCGAAGGCAGUCACUUGGUCCAUUACUGACGCUAAAGCACGAAAGCGUGGGUAGCAAACA
rnacentral:rRNA from 1 species